rnacentral:rRNA from 1 species
AGAGUUUGAUCCUGGCUCAGAAUCAACGCUGGCGGCGUGCCUAAUACAUGCAAGUCGAACGCGAAAGUCCCGCAAGGGGCAAGUAGAGUGGCAAACGGGUGAGUAACGCGUGGGCGACCUACCUUCGAGUGGGGGAUAACCUUCCGAAAGGAGGGCUAAUACCGCAUGACAUCCCGUGUUUGGAUACACGGACAUCAAAGUCGGGGAUCGCAAGACCUGACGCUUGGAGAGGGGCCUGCGUCCGAUUAGCUAGUUGGUGGGGUAACGGCCCACCAAGGCUUCGAUCGGUAUCCGGCCUGAGAGGGCGGACGGACACACUGGGACUGAGACACGGCCCAGACUCCUACGGGAGGCAGCAGUAGGGAAUUGUUCGCAAUGGGCGCAAGCCUGACGACGCAACGCCGCGUGGAGGAUGAAGACCUUCGGGUCGUAAACUCCUUUCGACCGAGAUGAAUACCCACCGACCUAAUACGUUGGUGGGCUGACAGUAUCGAGGGAAGAAGCCCC